CCGCCGCUCGCCAGCGCAACUCGGAGAAUUCCCGCGCCUCCAGGUCCAAGGCGAGCUCCCUGCAGCUCGUCUGCAAGUCAGAGCCCAAUGCCGACCAGCUGGAGUAUGUGGUCACAGAAGAGCAUCAGUCUCCAGAUGGAGUCAGUGAUGAUGAUGAGGAAAUGCUCAUCAGCGAGGAAGAAGUUCCCUUCAAAGAUGAUCCCCGAGAUGAGACCUACAAGCCCCACCUAGAGAAGUAUGUUGGAUUAUGUACUUAU
rnacentral:lncRNA from 1 species